rnacentral:misc_RNA from 1 species
GAAAUGCGAUAUGUAAUGCGAAUUGCAGAAUUCAGUGAAUCAUCAAAUCUUUGAACGCAAAUUGCGCUCUUGGGAUAGACCUAGGAGCACGCCCCUUUGAGUAUCAGUUCUAACACUACUCAACUAA